UACGUAGGUGGCAAGCGUUGUCCGGAAUUAUUGGGCGUAAAGCGCGCGCAGGCGGUCCUUUAAGUCUGAUGUGAAAGCCCACGGCUCAACCGUGGAGGGUCAUUGGAAACUGGGGGACUUGAGUGCAGAAGAGGAGAGCGGAAUUCCACGUGUAGCGGUGAAAUGCGUAGAGAUGUGGAGGAACACCAGUGGCGAAGGCGGCUCUCUGGUCUGUAACUGACGCUGAGGCGCGAAAGCC
rnacentral:rRNA from 1 species